GAUGAACGCUGGCGGCGUGCCUAAUACAUGCAAGUCGAGCGAACAGACGAGGAGCUUGCUCCUCUGACGUUAGCGGCGGACGGGUGAGUAACACGUGGAUAACCUACCUAUAAGACUGGGAUAACUUCGGGAAACCGGAGCUACUACCGGAUAAUAUAUUGAACCGCAUGGUUCAAUAGUGAAAGACGGUUUUGCUGUCACUUAUAGAUGGAUCCGCGCCGCAUUAGCUAGUUGGUAAGGUAACGGCUUACCAACGCAACGAUGCGUAGCCGACCUGAGCGGGUGAUCGGCCACACUGGAAGUGAGACACGGCCCAGACUCCGACGGGAGGCAGCAGUAGGGAAUCUUCCGCGAUGGGCGAAAGCCUGACGGAGCAACGCCGCGUGAGUGAUGAAGGUCUUCGGAUCGGAGAACUCUGUUAUUAGGAAAGAACAAAUGUGUAAGUAACUAUGCACGUCUUGACGGUACCUAAUCAGAAAGCCACGGCUAACUACGUG
rnacentral:rRNA from 1 species